ACAUAUAAACAACAUUUGUUGAAUUAUGUUAAGCAUUUCUACAUGACCGAUUGUUCUAUUAUUUAAAAGUUUGUUGUUGAAGUGCUAGAACAUACAGAAGUAUUUGAUAGAUGUGAUAGAAAUUUCCAUUUCUAUUUAAAAGUUUAGAAA
ensembl:ncRNA PDB1.2 ncRNA